rnacentral:misc_RNA from 1 species
CCGAGUUUACAACUCCCAAACCCCUGUGAACUUAUACCAUUACUGUUGCUUCGGCGGGUCAGCCCCGGGGACAAGACAGGUUGGCCGUCAGGUCUUCCUGCCAAACCCCCCGGAACCAGGCGCUCGCCGGGGAACUCAAACUCUUCUGUAUUUUUUGUUUAUUGUAUACUGUCUGAGUAAAACACCAUAAUGAAUCA